AGGUCCCAAGGGUUGGGCUGUUCGCCCAUUAAAGCGGUACGCGAGCUGGGUUCAGAACGUCGUGAGACAGUUCGGUCCCUAUCCGGCGCGGGCGGAGGACGUUUGAGGGGGUCUGGCCCCAGUACGAGAGGACCGGGCUGGACGGGCCGCUGGUGCGCCUGUUGCAUACCAAAUGCAUGGCAGGGUAGCCAAGCCCGGGCGGGAUAAACGCUGAAGGCAUCUAAGCGUGAAGCCCUCCCCAAGAUGAGACGUCCCCGCCGGAAGGCGGUAAGACCCCUCAGGGAACAUGAGGUGGAUAGGGCAGGGGUGGAAGCGCAGCAAUGCGCGGAGCUGACUGCCACUAAUCGGUCGAGGGCUUGACCAAG
rnacentral:rRNA from 1 species